CCCAGUUCUCCUCCUUCAGUGGAACCAGCUAUUGUUCCUUCCAAGGUUCUUGUGUAUUGCUUCAAAGGCACCCAGAGAAACUAUUUGGUGUAAGAAGAGAAUACAAUAUUAAGGCAUGAUGAAUACAAAGAAGAUUUCUAUUUUUAAGAGGGAGGUAUUGACUUUCAUCUGCAUCUUGAUUUAAUUUUUGUUCUGGAAAACAAAGGUCUCCAUAGGAAUUAGUAGUGAACCUCUAGAAAUACACUGGAUGAAGACCGCUAAGCCAGUGCUACUCAAAAUGUGAUUCAUAGCCUGAUACCUGCUUCUGAACUGAUACUGGAUCGCAAUAAGGGAAUUUUCUCUUGCAUAAGUACUGG
rnacentral:lncRNA from 10 species